AGGCACGUAGCUCAGGGGGAGAGCGCUACCCUGACACGGUAGAGGUCGGCGGUUCGAAACCGCCCGUGCCUACCA
rnacentral:tRNA from 4 species